rnacentral:rRNA from 1 species
CACGUAGGGCGCAAGCGUUUGUCCGGAAUUAUUGGGCGUAAAGAGCGUGUAGGCGGCUUUACAGGUCCGUUGUGAAAACUCGAGGCUCAACCUCGAGACGCCGGUGGAAACCGUAAAGCUAGAGUCCGGAAGAGGAGAGUGGAAUUCCUGGUGUAGCGGUGAAAUGCGCAGAUAUCAGGAGGAACACCCGUGGCGAAAGCGGCUCUCUGGGACGGUACUGACGCUGAGACGCGAAAGCGUGGGGAGCAAACAGG